rnacentral:rRNA from 1 species
GUCCAGACUCCUACGGGAGGCAGCAGUGGGGAAUAUUGCACAAUGGGGGAAACCCUGAUGCAGCGACGCCGCGUGAGUGAAGAAGUAUUUCGGUAUGUAAAGCUCUAUCAGCAGGGAAGAUAAUGACGGUACCUGACUAAGAAGCCCCGGCUAACUACGUGCCAGCAGCCGCGGUAAUACGUAGGGGGCAAGCGUUAUCCGGAUUUACUGGGUGUAAAGGGUGCGUAGGUGGCAUGGCAAGUCAGAAGUGAAAGCCCGGGGCUCAACCCCGCGGACUGCUUUUGAAACUGUCAGGCUGGAGUACAGGAGAGGUAAGCGGAAUUCCUAGUGUAGCGGUGAAAUGCGUAGAUAUUAGGAGGAACACCAGUGGCGAAGGCGGCUUACUGGACGGUAACCGACACUGAGGCACGAAAGCGUGGGGAGCAAACAGGAUUAGAUACCCCUGUAAAA